CAGUAGGGAAUCUUCCACAAUGGACGAAAGUCUGAUGGAGCAACGCCGCGUGAGUGAAGAAGGGUUUCGGCUCGUAAAACACUGUUGUAAGAGAAGAAUGACAUUGAGAGUAACUGUUCAAUGUGUGACGGUAUCUUACCAGAAAGGAACGGCUAAAUACGUGUCAG
rnacentral:rRNA from 1 species